rnacentral:tRNA from 1 species
GCGCCCGUAGCUCAGUGGACAGAGCGACGGCCUUCUAAGCCGUUGGUCGGAGGUUCGAAUCCUCCCGGGCGCACUA